UGAACAACGARAGUUGUUCGUGAGUCUCUCAAAUUUUCGCAACACGAUGAUGAAUCGAAAGAAACAUCUUCGGGUUGUGAGUGAACCGUUAUAACCGGCGAUUUCCGAAUGGGGAAACCCAGUGUGWUUCGWCACACUAUCAUUAACUGAAUCCAUAGGUUAAUGAGGCGAACCGGGGGAACUGAAACAUCUAAGUACCCCGAGGAAAAGAAAUCAACCGAGAUUCCCCCAGUAGCGGCGAGCGAACGGGGAGCAGCCCAGAGCCUGAAUCAGUGUGUGUGUUAGUGGAAGCGUCUGGAAAGGCGCGCGAUACAGGGUGACAGCCCCGUACACAAAAAUGCACAUGCUGUGAGCUCGAUGAGUAGGGCGGGACACGUGGUAUCCUGUCUGAAUAUGGGGGGACCAUCCUCCAAGGCUAAAUACUCCUGACUGACCGAUAGUGAACCAGUACCGUGAGGGAAAGGCGAAAAGAACCCCGGCGAGGGGAGUGAAAAAGAACCUGAAACCGUGUACGUACAAGCAGUGGGAGCACGCUUAGGCGUGUGACUGCGUACCUUUUGUAUAAUGGGUCAGCGACUUAUAUUCUGUAGCAAGGUUAACCGAAUAGGGGAGCCGAAGGGAAACCGAGUCUUAACUGGGCGUUAAGUUGCAGGGUAUAGACCCGAAACCCGGUGAUCUAGCCAUGGGCAGGUUGAAGGUUGGGUAACACUAACUGGAGGACCGAACCGACUAAUGUUGAAAAAUUAGCGGAUGACUUGUGGCUGGGGGUGAAAGGCCAAUCAAACCGGGAGAUAGCUGGUUCUCCCCGAAAGCUAUUUAGGUAGCGCCUCGUGAAUUCAUCUCCGGGGGUAGAGCACUGUUUCGGCAAGGGGGUCAUCCCGACUUACCAACCCGAUGCAAACUGCGAAUACCGGAGAAUGUUAUCACGGGAGACACACGGCGGGUGCUAACGUCCGUCGUGAAGAGGGAAACAACCCAGACCGCCAGCUAAGGUCCCAAAGUCAUGGUUAAGUGGGAAACGAUGUGGGAAGGCCCAGACAGCCAGGAUGUUGGCUUAGAAGCAGCCAUCAUUUAAAGAAAGCGUAAUAGCUCACUGGUCGAGUCGGCCUGCGCGGAAGAUGUAACGGGGCUAAACCAUGCACCGAAGCUGCGGCAGCGACGCUKAUGCGUUGUUGGGUAGGGGAGCGUUCUGUAAGCCUGYGAAGGUGURCUGUGAGGYAUGCUGGAGGUAUCAGAAGUGCGAAUGCUGACAUAAGUAACGAUAAAGCGGGUGAAAAGCCCGCUCGCCGGAAGACCAAGGGUUCCUGUCCAACGUUAAUCGGGGCAGGGUGAGUCGACCCCUAAGGCGAGGCCGAAAGGCGUAGUCGAUGGGAAACAGGUUAAUAUUCCUGUACUUGGUGUUACUGCGAAGGGGGGACGGAGAAGGCUAUGUUGGCCGGGCGACGGUUGUCCCGGUUUAAGCGUGUAGGCUGGUUUUCCAGGCAAAUCCGGAAAAUCAAGGCUGAGGCGUGAUGACGAGGCACUACGGUGCUGAAGYAACAAAUGCCCUGCUUCCAGGAAAAGCCUCUAAGCAUCAGGUAACAUCAAAUCGUACCCCAAACCGACACAGGUGGUCAGGUAGAGAAUACCAAGGCGCUUGAGAGAACUCGGGUGAAGGAACUAGGCAAAAUGGUGCCGUAACUUCGGGAGAAGGCACGCUGAUAUGUAGGUGAAGCGACUUGCUCGUGGAGCUGAAAUCAGUCGAAGAUACCAGCUGGCUGCAACUGUUUAUUAAAAACACAGCACUGUGCAAACACGAAAGUGGACGUAUACGGUGUGACGCCUGCCCGGUGCCGGAAGGUUAAUUGAUGGGGUYAGCGCAAGCGAAGCUCUUGAUCGAAGCCCCGGUAAACGGCGGCCGUAACUAUAACGGUCCUAAGGUAGCGAAAUUCCUUGUCGGGUAAGUUCCGACCUGCACGAAUGGCGUAAUGAUGGCCAGGCUGUCUCCACCCGAGACUCAGUGAAAUUGAACUCGCUGUGAAGAUGCAGUGUACCCGCGGCAAGACGGAAAGACCCCGUGAACCUUUACUAUAGCUUGACACUGAACAUUGAGCCUUGAUGUGUAGGAUAGGUGGGAGGCUUWGAAGUGUGGACGCCAGUCUGCAUGGAGCCGACCUUGAAAUACCACCCUUUAAUGUUUGAUGUUCUAACGUUGACCCGUAAUCCGGGUUGCGGACAGUGUCUGGUGGGUAGUUUGACUGGGGCGGUCUCCUCCUAAAGAGUAACGGAGGAGCACGAAGGUUGGCUAAUCCUGGUCGGACAUCAGGAGGUUAGUGCAAUGGCAUAAGCCAGCUUGACUGCGAGCGUGACGGCGCGAGCAGGUGCGAAAGCAGGUCAUAGUGAUCCGGUGGUUCUGAAUGGAAGGGCCAUCGCUCAACGGAUAAAAGGUACUCCGGGGAUAACAGGCUGAUACCGCCCAAGAGUUCAUAUCGACGGCGGUGUUUGGCACCUCGAUGUCGGCUCAUCACAUCCUGGGGCUGAAGUAGGUCCCAAGGGUAUGGCUGUUCGCCAUUUAAAGUGGUACGCGAGCUGGGUUUAGAACGUCGUGAGACAGUUCGGUCCCUAUCUGCCGUGGGCGCUGGAGAACUGAGGGGGGCUGCUCCUAGUACGAGAGGACCGGAGUGGACGCAUCACUGGUGUUCGGGUUGUCAUGCCAAUGGCACUGCCCGGUAGCUAAAUGCGGAAGAGAUAAGUGCUGAAAGCAUCUAAGCACGAAACUUGCCCCGAGAUGAGUUCUCCCUGACYCYUURAGRGUCCUGAAGGAACGUUGAAGACGACGACGUUGAUAGGCCGGGUGUGUAAGCGCAGCGAUGCGUUGAGCUAACCGGUACUAAUGAACCGUGAGGCUUAACCUU
rnacentral:rRNA from 1 species